GAUGAACGCUGGCGGCGUGCCUAAUACAUGCAAGUCGAGCGAACAGACGAGGAGCUUGCUCCUCUGACGUUAGCGGCGGACGGGUGAGUAACACGUGGAUAACCUACCUAUAAGACUGGGAUAACUUCGGGAAACCGGAGCUAAUACCGGAUAAUAUAUUGAACCGCAUGGUUCAAUAGUGAAAGACGGUUUUGCUGUCACUUAUAGUUGGAUCCGCGCCGCAUUAGCUAGUUGGUAAGGUAACGGCUUACCAAGGCAACGAUGCGUAGCCGACCUGAGAGGGUGAUCGGCCACACUGGAACUGAGACACGGUCCAGACUCCUACGGGAGGCAGCAGUAGGGAAUCUUCCGCAAUGGGCGAAAGCCUGACGGAGCAACGCCGCGUGAGUGAUGAAGGUCUUCGGAUCGUAAAACUCUGUUAUUAGGGAAGAACAAAUGUGUAAGUAACUAUGCACGUCUUGACGGUACCUAAUCAGAAAGCCACGGCUAACUACGUG
rnacentral:rRNA from 1 species